UACGAAGGGGGCUAGCGUUGCUCGGAAUCACUGGGCGUAAAGGGUGCGUAGGCGGCUCUUUAAGUCAGGGGUGAAAUCCCGGAGCUCAACUCCAGAACUGCCUUUGAUACUGAAGAUCUUGAGUUCGGGAGAGGUGAGUGGAACUGCGAGUGUAGAGGUGAAAUUCGUAGAUAUUCGCAAGAACACCAGUGGCGAAGGCGGCUCACUGGCCCGAUACUGACGCUGAGGCACGAAAGCGUGGGGAGCAAACAGG
rnacentral:rRNA from 1 species